AACGAACGCUGGCGGCAUGCCUAACACAUGCAAGUCGAACGAAGCCUUCGGGCUUAGUGGCGCACGGGUGCGUAACGCGUGGGAAUCUGCCCUUUGGUUCGGAAUAACAGUUGGGAACGACUGCUAAUACCGGAUGAUGACGAAAGUCCAAAGAUUUAUCGCCAGAGGAUGAGCCCGCGUAGGAUUAGCUAGUUGGUGUGGUAAAGGCGCACCAAGGCGACGAUCCUUAGCUGGUCUGAGAGGAUGAUCAGCCACACUGGGACUGAGACACGGCCCAGACUCCGACGGGAGGCAGCAGUGGGGAAUAUUGGACAAUGGGCGAAAGCCUGAUCCAGCAAUGCCGCGUGAGUGAUGAAGGCCCUAGGGUUGUAAAGCUCUCUUACCCGGGAUGAUAAUGACAGUACCGGGAGAAUAAGCUCCGGCUAACUCCGUGCCAGCCGCCGCAGUAA
rnacentral:rRNA from 1 species